rnacentral:rRNA from 1 species
AUACAUGCAAGUCGAGCGGACAGAAGGGAGCUUGCUCCCGGAUGUUAGCGGCGGACGGGUGAGUAACACGUGGGUAACCUGCCUGUAAGACUGGGAUAACUCCGGGAAACCGGAGCUAAUACCGGAUAGUUCCUUGAACCGCAUGGUUCAAGGAUGAAAGACGGUUUCGGCUGUCACUUACAGAUGGACCCGCGGCGCAUUAGCUAGUUGGUGAGGUAACGGCUCACCAAGGCGACGAUGCGUAGCCGACCUGAGAGGGUGAUCGGCCACACUGGGACUGAGACACGGCCCAGACUCCUACGGGAGGCAGCAGUAGGGAAUCUUCCGCAAUGGACGAAAGUCUGACGGAGCAACGCCGCGUGAGUGAUGAAGGUUUUCGGAUCGUAAAGCUCUGUUGUUAGGGAAGAACAAGUGCAAGAGUAACUGCUUGCACCUUGACGGUACCUAACCAGAAAGCCACGGCUAACUACGUGCCAGCAGCCGCGGUAAUACGUAGGUGGCAAGCGUUGUCCGGAAUUAUUGGGCGUAAAGGGCUCGCAGGCGGUUUCUUAAGUCUGAUGUGAAAGCCCCCGGCUCAACCGGGGAGGGUCAUUGGAAACUGGGAAACUUGAGUGCAGAAGAGGAGAGUGGAAUUCCACGUGUAGCGGUGAAAUGCGUAGAGAUGUGGAGGAACACCAGUGGCGAAGGCGACUCUCUGGUCUGUAACUGACGCUGAGGAGCGA